AAAUAAACACAGAGGCGCCUUUUCUGUUCAGAGACCCAACCCUCUUCAACAUGAACAGAGUUCUGAUCUGUGCUGUAUUCGCCCUGCUGGUGGUUUCUCUUGCGGCCGAGGGACUAACCGGUACGAAUAUAAUAAAUGGAACGACACCUAAGGACUCGGGGUCUAGCUGUCUGCAUGUUCCGUUUAUCCUGCAGCUUGGGAUGAUGGUUGUACCUGCUCUUCUUCACACUCUUCUGUAGAAUGUGCUGAGGUGGAGCAAUGGUGGUUGCCACAACUCAACAACUGUCAUGUUUCACCCUAACCGAUUUAGCCUAGCCUGUAGACAUGUACCUAAUUUCAAACUCAAUGAAGUACUUGAAACAUCAACCAACAACUAUUAAGACCAAAAAAUAAAAUCUAGCAAUUUAAAAUAUUUUGAAAUGCAAGUACAAAUGAAUUGUGAAUGAAUGCAAACAGCUUUUUUUUAAUAAUUAAUCUAUUGUAAUGAAACUAUGUUGUCUUUGGUUGCAGUUUUUUUUAUGUCUUUGGUUUACUGUUGUAAAUGUUUGACACAGUUGUUCUGUAGGCAGGAAUUACUGGAGGCAGAAAUUAUGCAUUUCUAUUUGUCAACCAGUCAGUAUAGAUUCAAGCUUGCUACAUUAAUUGCUCGAUAGACUACCAUAUUUGAACUUCGUUUGGGUCUUUGCAGUCCAAGAACAAUGCACCCUAAUUGUGUGCCCUGAGGGAACUUGCUAGCAACUUGUUAGUGUAUAACGUUCCAUUAUCCAAUUCCAGAAAUAAGUUUGUCAACUGUGUGACUGUGUGUUAAUGUAGCUAGACAACCAAGCAGCAAUAUAACCAAAGCAAAAAUGUUGUAAAUUGCUGUGCAUAGUGUACUGUAUGGCUAGUAAACAUAUUAUCAAGUAAUAAAAUGUUUAAGGCAGUAGAUGGAUA